rnacentral:rRNA from 1 species
AACGAACGCUGGCGGCAUGCCUAACACAUGCAAGUCGAACGAAGCCUUCGGGCUUAGUGGCGCACGGGUGCGUAACGCGUGGGAAUCUGCCCUUGGGUUCGGAAUAACAGUUAGAAAUGACUGCUAAUACCGAAUGAUGUCUUCGGACCAAAGAUUUAUCGCCCAAGGAUGAGCCCGCGUCGGAUUAGCUAGUUGGUGAGGUAAAGGCUCACCAAGGCGACGAUCCGUAGCUGGUCUGAGAGGAUGAUCAGCCACACUGGGACUGAGACACGGCCCAGAUCCUACGGAGGCAGCAGUGGGGAAUAUU